rnacentral:misc_RNA from 1 species
CUUGUGCAAUAUGAUAACAGUAAUUUUUUCUGUUAUGCAAAAUCCAAAUUCAAUACAAAAGACCCUGGAAUUGCAGCAGAAUUUCUAUCUAUUCAAUGUAAGUACUGAAUGAAUACAACAGAUGUAAUUCUUAAAUGGUUCAAAAUUUCAUUUCAAACUAGCACUACAUUGGCAUUGGUCACAUAGGCUGCAAAGGUGAAAAUGUGAUACUCUGCUACAAUGAACAACAUCCCUAACAAACUUUCUUAAAAAACUAGCAAUCAAGACUUACACGUAUGGCUGGUGCAUUUUCUUUUAUCCAUGUAACUGCCUUCCAUUAUCCAUGUAACUGCCGUAAUUGGAACGAGCUGCAUAAUAAGACCCGGUAAUAACCUGUCAUCCUGAGGAUAGUAGCAUGCUCUUUGAUCUGUACCCGGCUGGCCAUAACCAGACUGGGCAGGAACUUGAUAAUUGUAAGGAUUUGGACCACCAUGAGGAUACCUCUCCUGCAUUCUUGUGUAUGGUAUCCUCUCAGCAAAAACUAGUGGAGCUGGUCGCCCAACAGUAGGGCCAGGGGGAGCAACUCCACAAAAUCCACAUUCUCCAUUUUGAUUGCUGAUGUUUGCCAAAAUCUCCAUUCCUCUUCUUAUCAGAUUUUCACUUCACCAAUUGAGCAACCCUUUUCCGAAGUGGGUUGAGUGGGUAGUCAGCUUCAAGCUUGUACUCUUCAACACACCUGAUAAUAGCCUUCAGUGUUGGAAGCUCUUGUGCAUUUACAUUACCCUGUCCAGUAGCACCAUCAGUGUUUCCACCCUUUCCUUGGGAGUUUCUCCUAAAAUCCUUCAAGUAUGUCUUUAGUAGAUGAACAGGGGGAAAACUUUCAGCAAGCUGGAAGGCAUGAAUAAACCGUACAGCCUCAGUUUGUUUCCCACAGUUAAUCAAUGACUCGAUCACACCUGCACAAACAUAGAGGCUAAGUAAGCUCUACGUAAGCUCAGUAUGCUCUACAUAAGGCCAUGUAGUAUGCAAGAGUUAUACAAGACUGCAAGAGUCCAUAUUCAUUUCAUGAGUAAUCCACCAGUCGUAAAGGAAUCAAGCAUGAGAGACACGUAUGGAAACAAUGGUCCAGACUCCAGUCUCAGUUCAGUUAAUUAGAAGAACACCAACCUGGCUUUUUGUGUGUUAACCCAAGAGAACGGCAGAGCUCAGGUGCUUGCCUGCGGUGAGCAACUACAAGGACAAGCUUGCAGAGUUCUUCAUCAAACUCCGAAGCAAUUCUAAAAGUAGAGAGAAGCUGCAAGAAUGCAUAAGCUUCCAAUGAAUUUCCAUUGGCAGCAACAACGCCUGCACUAGCCAACUUAGGCUUCCACUCAUCAGCAAUUGCCUUGGCUUGCUGCUUUAUUUCAGGGUUUAGAAGGUGAUCAGCACCUGGGUCAAUUCUGGCCAAUAAGGCAGCCAAGGAUUCCAUAAACAUUAUACAGGAUCUGCGCAUGCCCUGAAGGGCAGCAUCCUUUUUGUCCAUUGGUUGGGUAGUUUCAAGAGGAGGAUAAAAUGCCUCCAGUGAAUCCAACACCAAACGUGCUGGUUCAUUUGCACUUUCUAGUGCGACAGAAAGUUUUUCACGAAUGGCAUAUAGAAUUUUUUGGUUCUCCAUAGUAAAACUCAGUAGCCCUUUUGCAUCCAUCUGCUCGCAAAAUUGCGUCAGCUCUGGACUUGGCUUAACACCAACAGCCAUGGUUUCAGCAUUUUCACCCAUUUUAGAAGGAGAGUCCUCCCCUGGGGAAUUUAUGUCACCAAGAGAGCUGCUUACCUUGCUGUCUUUGUUGUCACCACCGUCAAUGGACUCAGAUAUAGUUGGCAGGUGAUUAGCUCGUGCCUCUGCAAUGACAGCAACAGCAUCAUCCUUUAGUUCCUGCACACGUUCUAAGAAAUCUUGCUCUUUAGCAACAACAGCUGCCUCUCUUUCUGCAAGCAGGGCAUGAAUUUCAUCUUCUUUCUCCUUGUACUCUUUCUCCCUAGCUUCUAACACUUCAAAUUUUUUCUUUAAUGUUGCAUCAAGAUUGCGAAAGUGAAGUUCAAUUUCCAUCCACUGAACCCCGUCCUCAGAUGCAUCCUUGAGGGCUUCCAGCUCAUUUAGAGCUCUUCCAAGCUGUUCUAUUAAAGAGGAUGCGGUAUGGUUUUCCACAUCUUGCUCUGAAUUAGUCAUGGCUGUGGAAAAUCCAGGUACUACGGACUUCUCAACAACAACAACAACAAUGAAGCAAAUAUAGAAAACCCUAGAAGUUACAGAUUGUGAUUUGCUGCAGAUGAGAAGAACCGACUGGAAAUGAAUUCCCUUGUUUUAGCUCUUUUAGUUGCAGAUAAAAAAAAAAAUAAAAAAGAAAAUUAGUGGAUUUUUUUUCUUCGUUUCUUAAUUUUUCUAUUCUAGGAAUGUCAAUAGUCUUAAAACUGCAUCUGUUAUCUAGGAUAAGAAGCAGGAACCCUAACACCUCAGGGUUUGAUUUUGGAUUUUGUGGAGUUUAAUUGGGCUUGG